rnacentral:tRNA from 1 species
GGUGAGGUGGCUGAGUGGUCGAAAGCAGCGCUUUGCUAAAGCGCCGUACCUGUCAAAGGGUACCGAGGGUUCGAAUCCCUCCCUCACCGCCA